GACAGAGGGUGCAAACGUUGUUCGGAUUCAUUGGGCGUAAAGGGUGCGUAGGCGGCGCGGUAAGUCGGGUGUGAAAUCUUGGAGCUUAACUCCGAAACUGCAUUCGAUACUGCCGUGCUUGAGGACUGGAGAGGAGACUGGAAUUUACGGUGUAGCGGUGAAAUGCGUAGAUAUCGUAAGGAAGACCAGUGGCGAAGGCGGUUCUCUGGGACGGUACUGACGCUGAGACGCGAAAGCGUGGGGAGCGAACAGG
rnacentral:rRNA from 1 species